CCUACGGGAGGCAGCAGUGGGGAAUAUUGCACAAUGGGCGCAAGCCUGAUGCAGCCAUGCCGCGUGUGUGAAGAAGGCCUUCGGGUUGUAAAGCACUUUCAGCGGGGAGGAAGGCGGUGAGGUUAAUAACCUCAUCGAUUGACGUUACCCGCAGAAGAAGCACCGGCUAACUCCGUGCCAGCAGCCGCGGUAAUACGGAGGGUGCAAGCGUUAAUCGGAAUUACUGGGCGUAAAGCGCACGCAGGCGGUCUGUCAAGUCGGAUGUGAAAUCCCCGGGCUCAACCUGGGAACUGCAUUCGAAACUGGCAGGCUAGAGUCUUGUAGAGGGGGGUAGAAUUCCAGGUGUAGCGGUGAAAUGCGUAGAGAUCUGGAGGAAUACCGGUGGCGAAGGCGGCCCCCUGGAUAAAGACUGACGCUCAGGUGCGAAAGCGUGGGGAGCAAACAGGAUUAGAUACCCGGGUAGUC
rnacentral:rRNA from 1 species